UCGCGCCACUGCGCAGCCGCGAGAGGGCGGUACCACGGCGGCUGCGACAUGGGGGGGCGCGGAGCAGACGCCGGAAGUAGCGGUGGUACAGGUCCCACCGAGGGGUACUCACCGCCGGCGGCGUCCACCCGCGCCGCGGCUAGAGCCAAGGCCCGAGGGGGUGGGCGUGGUGGCCGCCGGAACGCAACACCCUCUGUUCCCUCUUCUCGCGGAGCGGCGCCGCGUCGCUCCCCUCCACCGGCUGCCAUGAGCGAGCGCCUCCGCCCCAGGAAAAGGAGAAGGAAUGGCAAUGAAGAAGACCAUCAUCUUCCCCCGCAGACCAAAAGGAGUAGUAGAAACCCUGUCUUUCAUGAUUCCUGGGACACAGAGACAGUGCCUGUAACGAAAAACAGUAAAGAAAACAGACUAAGAGGAAACAAAGUGUUCUGCGCGUCUUCAAGCAGCGACAGUGGUGGGAGCAGCGGCGGCAGCAGCAUCAACAGCCCGGACCGGGCAAGCGGGCCGGAGAGCAGCUUGAACCACGCGGCGGCCGGUUCCGGCCCUAACACCCCUCAGCCUGUUCCCGAGCAGUCUGCACUGUGCCAGGGCCCGUACUUCCACAUCAACCAGACCCUGAAGGAGGCCCACUUCCAUAGCCUACAGCACCGAGGACGGCCUCCGACAUGAUGUGCCGCCAGUUUCUUGCCUUCUGUGAAGGGACAGCGCUGUGCAGAUUUGAUAUUUCAACUUACGAUGUUUUAAAAAAUUGCACAAAAAUAUGCCUGUUGGCUUUUCAGUCUAUAUUUGAAAUAACGGGUUGACAGGCAGUUGUUUACUUGUGGUUUUGCUGCACUAUUGCAAUUUCAAAGGGGCUUUGAAGCAAUUUUUUAUAGGAUUCUUUUGAGGAGAGAAUGUCUUUCACACUUGUAUACCCAGCUCACUUCUGCUACCGUUACUCCUCCAAAGCCUCCAUCUCAGACUUAGUAGGAAACACGGCACAGUUCUGACAGUCGAGAAGUACGUAAUGACCUUUGUCUCACUCAUAGACUUGUUCUAUCAGCAGCUUCUGUGAUCUCGCCGGGAAUCCGCCUUGGGGUUCAAGAAUUAAGGCGCUGAGGAAUGCUGACCGAGUAUAAGCUAUCUGAACUGCUGUCUAAAGUCCCAAGUAUUGUGAAACCGCUGGACAAGGAUUCACUGUAUGCUUAAAGGAACCCCUAACAGUAACUGGGGGGCCACAUUCCACCGCUGAAACUGGAAAGACUGGUGGCUUAGAAACAAACAAGCAGAGGCACCGUUAGCAG